rnacentral:rRNA from 1 species
GAUGAACGCUGGCGGCGUGCUUAACACAUGCAAGUCGAACGGAGAUAUUUCGCUGAAGCGGAUUUAUCCAAUUCUUGAGAUAUCUUAGUGGCGGACGGGUGAGUAACGCGUGGGUAACCUGCCGUAUACAGGGGGAUAACACUUAGAAAUAGGUGCUAAUACCGCAUAAGCGCACGAGGUCGCAUGACCACGUGUGAAAAACUCCGGUGGUAUACGAUGGACCCGCGUCUGAUUAGCUAGUUGGUGGGGUAAUGGCCUACCAAGGCGACGAUCAGUAGCCGGACUGAGAGGUUGAACGGCCACAUUGGGACUGAGAUACGGCCCAGACUCCUACGGGAGGCAGCAGUGGGGAAUAUUGGGCAAUGGACGCAAGUCUGACCCAGCAACGCCGCGUGAAGGAAGAAGGCUUUCGGGUUGUAAACUUCUUUAAGGGGGAAGAGUAGAAGACGGUACCCCUUGAAUAAGCCACGGCUAACUACGUG